rnacentral:tRNA from 1 species
GAGGGUACAGCUCAGUGGCAGAGCACAUGCUUAGCAUGCCUGAGGUCUUAAGUUCAAUCCCCAGUACCUCCA